GGAUGGGUGAGUAACGCGUGGGUAACCUGCCUUACACAGGGGGAUAACAACCGGAAACGGUUGCUAAAACCGCAUAAGCGCACAGAUAUGCAUAUAUCAGUGUGAAAAUAUGAAGCAUUUAUGCUUCUAUAGGUGUAAGAUGGGCCCGCGUCUGAUUAGCUAGUUGGUAAGGUAAUAGCUUACCAAGGCGAUGAUCAGUAGCCGGCUUGAGAGAGUGACCGGCCACAUUGGGACUGAGACACGGCCCAAACUCCUACGGGAGGCAGCAGUGGGGAAUCUUGCACAAUGGGCGAAAGCCUGAUGCAGCGACGCCGCGUGAGUGAAGAAGUAUUUCGGUAUGUAAAGCUCUAUCAGCAGGGACGAUAAUGACGGUACCUGACUAAGAAGCCCCGGCUAACUACGUGCCAGCAGCCGCGGUAAUACGUAGGGGGCAAGCGUUAUCCGGAUUUACUGGGUGUAAAG
rnacentral:rRNA from 1 species